rnacentral:lncRNA from 1 species
GUGACAGAGCCCGGUUGGGGUGUUUGGGGUGACAGAUCCCGGGUAGGGGGGUGACAGAGCCCAGCUGGGGUUUUUUGGGGUGACUGACCCCAGCUGGGGUGUUUGGGGUGACAGACCCCAGCUGGGGUUUUUGGGGUGCGGGCGAUGGCGGGGGGCUCACCGGGGCGCUCUCCCCGGCGCGGCGCACGCGGAGGCUGAGCUGGAGGAACCCCUGGGAGCGGCCGUCGCGGUGUUGGGGGUGCUGAAGGCUCAGCCACUUCCAGCUCAGGCUGCGGCCUUGGGGACACCGCGGGGACACCGCUGGCACCCCGAAUUCCCGGCCAGGAACCCCAAAUUCCGGGACAGGAACCCCAAAUUCCCAGCACAGAACCCCAAAUUCCCGGCCCCGAACCCCAAAUUCCCAGCACAGAACCCCAAAUUCCGGGACAGGAACCCCAAAUUUCAUAUCCAGAACCCCAAAUUCCCGGCCCCGAACCCCAAAUUCCCGGCCAGGAACCCCAAAAUUCCCAACCCCAAAAUUCCGUGUCCGGACCCCCAAAUUUCUCAUCUCGGAACCCCAAAUUUCCCAUCUCAGAACCCCAAAAUCCGUAUCCGGAACCCCAAAUUUCGUGUUUGGAACCCCAAAAUUGUGUCACCCUGAAUAUGUCACCCCGAAUGUGUCACCCUGAAUGUGUCACCCCGAAUGUGCCACCCAAUGUCACCCAGUGUCACCCCGAAUGUGUCACCCAGAAUGUGUCACCCAGUGUCACCCAGUGUCACCCCAACCCUCUCCUCACCCGGGGCAGAGUAGACGGUGCCGAUGUCAAGCUGUGGGAACGGCAAAGGGGGUGAGUGCAGCGACACCCCAAAUCCAAUCCCAAAUCCCAAAUCCCAAAUCCCAAAUCCAAUCCCAAAUCCCAAAUCCAAUCCCAAAUCCCAAUUCCCAUUCCCAUUCCCCGUUCCCCAUUCCCAUUCCCCAUUCCCAUUCCCAUUCCCAUUCCCAGUUCCCCAUUCCCAUUCCCAGUUCCCCAUUCCCAUUCCCAGUUCCCCAUUCCCAUUCCCCAUUCCCGUUCCCCAUUCCCAUUCCCAUUCCCAUUCCCCAAUCCCAUUCCCAGUUCCCCAUUCCCCAUUCCCAUUCCCGUUCCCAGUUCCCCAUUCCCAUUCCCAAUCCCAUUCCCAUUCCCAUUCCCAGUUCCCCAUUCCCAUUCCCAGUUCCCAUUCCCAUUCCCCAUUCCCCAUUCCCAUUCCCAGUUCCCCAUUCCCACUCCCAUUCCCAGUUCCCCAUUCCCAUUCCCAUUCCCAGUUCCCCAUUCCCAUUCCCAUUCCCAGUUCCCAUUCCCAUUCCCACUCCCACUCCCAUUCCCAUUCCCAUUCCCGUUCCCAUUCCCAUUCCCAUUCCCCAUUCCCCAUUCCCAUUCCCAUUCCCAUUCCCAGUUCCCCAUUCCCAUUCCCAUUCCCAUUCCCAUUCACCAUCCCCAUUCCCAUUCCCAUUCCCCAUCCCCAUUCCCAUUCCCAUUCCCAUUCCCCGUUCCCAUUCCCAUUCCCAGUUCCCAUUCCCCAUUCCCAUUCCCAGUUCCCAAAUCCCAAUUCCCAGUUCCCCAUUCCCAGUUCCCAUUCCCAUUCCCAGUUCCCCAUUCCCGUUCCCGUUCCCGUUCCCGUUCCCGUUCCCGUUCCCGUUCCCGUUCCCGCUUUUCCUCACCUGGAAGACGCCGAUGAUGGGUUUGAUGCAGGCGUGGGGUGAACGGAGCACCUGGGGCAGGGACGGGGACACGGCUGGGCCUGCGUCCGUCUGUCCGUCUGUCUGUCUGUCCCUGUGUCUGUCCGUCUGUCCGUCUGUCCCUGCGUCUGUCCGUCUGUCCUUGUAUCUGUGUGUCCAUCUGUCCUUGUGUCUGUGUGUCUGUCCUUGUGUCCAUCCGUGUGUCCCUGUGUCUGUCCACGUGUCCGUGUGUCCCUGUGUCUGUCCCUGUGUCCCUGUGUCCGUGCGUCCGUGUGUCCCUGUGUCUGUCCAUGUGUCCCUGUGUCCGUGUGUCCAUCUGUCCCUGUGUCUGUCCCUGUGUCCCUGUGUCCGUGUGUGUGUCCGUGUGUCCGUGUGUCCCUGUGUCUGUCCGUGUGUCUGUCCCUGUGUCCCUGUGCCCGUGUGUGUGUCCGUGCGUCUGUGUGUCCGUGUGUCCCUGUGUCUGUCCAUGUGUCCCUGUGUCCGUGUGUCCAUCUGUCCCUGUGUCUGUCCC